rnacentral:rRNA from 1 species
UGCCAGCAGCCGCGGUAAUACGGGGGAGGCAAGCGUUAAUCGGAUUCAUUGGGCGUAAAGGGCAUGCAGGCGGUUUCUUAAGUCGGAUGUUAAAGACCACCGCUCACCGGUGGAAGUGCGUUCGAUACUGAGAGACUGGAGUCCAUCAGAGGCAAGCGGAAUUCCGGGUGUAGCGGUGAAAUGCGUAGAUAUCCGGAGGAACACCAGUGGCGAAGGCGGCUUGCUGGGAUGGUACUGACGCUGAUAUGCGAAAGCCAGGGGAGCGAACGGGAUUAGAUA